CCCGCAACGAGCGCAACCCCCGCCGUUAGUUGCCAGCGGUUCGGCCGGGCACUCUAACGGGACUGCCCGCGAAAGCGGGAGGAAGGAGGGGACGACGUCUGGUCAGCAUGGCCCUUACGGCCUGGGCGACACACGUGCUACAAUGCCCACUACAAAGCGAUGCCACCCGGCAACGGGGAGCUAAUCGCAAAGAGGUGGGCCCAGUUCGGAUUGGGGUCUGCAACCCGACCCCAUGAAGCCGGAAUCGCUAGUAAUCGCGGAUCAGCAUGCCGCGGUGAAUACGUUCCCGGGCCUU
rnacentral:rRNA from 1 species